AAUGCUUUCCUUCCACCAAGUUUCCAGUCUGUUUAUUCAUUCUGAGAAGAGAAAUGGAGUCAACACAUGGAAUUGCUUGGAUGGACUGCACUGGAGACCAGAUUUUCAUCCAUUUCGUAUAAUCGCUCUGUGAUCACUUGAGAAGUUUUGUGCAGAAUCAGAGACAAACUUCUGCUUCCCCACCUGAUAAUUUACUUUUGAAUCUGCUGUAGAAAGUUAUGUAAAAUUCUACCAUAUGCUGGGCAAGUGAAGUAGUUUGAGGACAUCCCAAAAGAGAACACUGAAAAACAGCAGAUAAAAAACAAGGCUCUGAGGUUGAACAUACCUCUUUUCUAGUUAUACCCUAUGAAUUUAUCCUUGGUGAUUUGGAAAAAACAUCAAGUAAACCUACCUGGAAGGCGAACAGUUGGCUGAGCUAAACCAAACCACGCUCCUGGAAUGGGAAUAUUGCAG
ensembl:lncRNA